UUGGACCCACACCUCUCUCCCUUCUACCCCGGUUCCUCUUCUCACGUUCUCAUUCUGCUCUCAGUCAAACUCCCUCACUUCUCUCACAGUUAUUUCUCCCUCUGUCCCUUAUCCUUCUCUUCUCUCUCUUGGCUCGCUUCUCCCCGAGCAACACAGCCACCUCGUUUCGAACACCAAAUCACCACCAUCCUCGUCCCAACCUCACACCAAACACAAAACUAGAACCCAGAGUCCCAGACCAUAGACUCGAACCUCAAAUCGGAGAACCAGAGCUUCGUCUCGAAUCCGAGAGAGGUUUCUGGAGAUUUUCCGACAAAUCUCGUCGUCUUGGACGAGAUUGACACCACAAACGAACUCCCCAUAGUCCCAUUCAGGGAUUCAUAGGGACCUAAACUGGCCUUUCAGGCCAAUUUCCGGCCAUCCCUUGGCCUCGAUUUUGGCAAAAUCAAACUCCUGUUAAUCCCAGCCUGAUUUUGACAUAUUGUGUAUUACAAAUGGUUGAGAUUUAAUGCUGAUCUGCUUUUGUUUCGAAUCCAAAUAGGUAUUGAUUUUAAUUUUUGUUUUCGUUGGUGUGUAAUUUGAGAUGGAAUGUGGAAGUGGUUUGAAAUUAUGGUGUAUUUAUUUUGGUGUCUGAUCACUAUACUUAAAUUACAUGACUCUAGAUUUAACAUUCUA